rnacentral:rRNA from 1 species
GGGAUGACACAGUAGGAUAAGCUAAGCACACUGUUGGUUAUGUGUGCCCAAGCAUUGAGGCAGUCAAAGUAGGCAAAUCCGCUUUGAUAAUGCUGGGAUGUGAUGGGGAGCGAAAUUUAGUAGCGAAGUAGCUGAUUUCACACUGUCAAGAAAAGUCUCUAUCGAGGUUAAAGGUACCCGUACCGCAAACCGACACAGGUGGGUGAGGAGAGUAUCCUAAGGCCAGCGAGAGAACUGUUGUUAAGGAACUCGGCAAAAUGACCCCGUAACUUAGGGAUAAGGGUUGCCAAGCCGUCAGGUGGCCGCAGAGAAUAGGCCCAAGCGACUGUUUACCAAAAACAUAGGUUUCUGCUAAGUCGCAAGACGAUGUAUAGGAGCUGACGCCUGCCCGGUGCUGGAAGGUUAAGGCAAGGGGUCAGGA